GCGCAGGGGGCGGGGCCGGCGGCCACUGGGCACGCGGACGGCCUCGAGACUGGACUGCCCGCGGGUGGGCGAGGCUCUGCGGGGCGGCGGCGAGUUGCUCGGCUGGCGGGACGCCUGCGAGCCCGCACGGCCGGGCGCUGCUGCCCCUGCCUUCUGCCCGGUCACGCCGGACGUUGCUCUCUGAGGUGUUUCUCGAUGCUCGCCGGCUUCCCAGCAAGGACGGUGGAAAAGUUGUUGCAGGCUGACCGCGCUCCCUGAGAGCCCCGCUGGUGGUCCGUCCAGCCAGCUUCCGCCAUCGAGCUGUCGCUGUAGCUCGUCACCCCAGCAGAGUCUGUGGAAAUGCUGAGGAGAAAAGUGCCCCUCAGAUGAGCGUGGUCGGCGACCAGUCUUUCCCGAAGGCGAUGGCAGGGACCAAAACAAGCCGGGUUUGGUUGCUAGCUGCAAACUGAGAGAAGCAGGCUGAGGGCUGCCAGGCGGGAUGGAUCCCUGUGGAGACCCGGCAGUACCUGGUGGCGACUGUCCCCAGACUAGGGGACCGGGGCUCCAGGGGGCGUCUGGCCAGGAGGGUCCUCUGCAGGGCACUUGCGUGGACAGCAGCCACAGUGAACACGAAGACCGAAACAGAAUGUCUGAAGAGCUUAUAAUGGUUGUCCAAGAAAUGAAAAAGUAUUUCCCAGCCGAGAGGCACACUAAGCCCAGUACCCUAGAUGCUCUUAACUAUGCCCUGCGCUGUGUACACAGUGUGCAAGCAAACAGUGACUUUUUCCAGAGUCUCGGUCCACGCGGAGCACACCAGGCAGAUGUGACUGUAUACAGUCUUGAGGACCUCACCGCUCUGGCUUCUGAACAUACUUCUAAGAACACAGAUACCUUCGCGGCCGUGUUUUCGUUUCUGUCUGGAAGGUUAGUGCACAUUUCUGAGCAGGCUGCUUUGAUCCUGAAUUCUAAGAGGGGUUUCCUCAAGAGCGUGCACUUUGUCGACCUGCUUGCCCCUCAAGACGUGAGGGCGUUCUACGCGCACACUGCUCCAACUCAGCUUCCUUUCUGGAACAACUGGACCCAAAGAGCCUCGCAGUAUGAAUGUGCACCAGCGAAACCCUUUUUCUGCAGAAUCUGUGGAGGUGGAGACAGAGAGAAGAGGCAUUACUCCCCAUUCCGGAUCCUCCCCUAUUUGGUUCAUGUACAUAGCUCUGCCCAGCCAGAACCAGAGCCUUGCUGUCUAACACUGGUUGAAAAGAUUCACUCUGGUUACGAAGCUCCUCGAAUCCCUGUAGAUAAAAGAAUUUUUACCACAACACACACUCCAGGAUGUGUGUUUCUUGAAGUAGAUGAAAGAGCAGUGCCUUUGCUGGGUUACCUACCUCAGGAUCUGAUUGGAACAUCGAUCUUAACAUACUUGCACCCAGAAGAUCGGCCUCUGAUGGUUGCCAUACACCAAAAAGUUUUAAAGUAUGCCGGCCACCCUCCGUUUGAACACUCGCCCGUCAGAUUCUGCACUCAGAACGGAGAGUAUGUCAUUCUGGAUUCCAGCUGGUCCAGCUUUGUCAACCCCUGGAGCCGGAAGGUCUCCUUCAUCAUUGGUCGACAUAAAGUCCGAACGAGUCCAUUAAAUGAAGAUGUUUUUGCCACCAGAAUAAAAAAGGCAGCCAGUAACGACAAAGACAUAGCAGAAUUACAAGAACAAAUUCACAAACUUCUCUUGCAGCCGGUUCAUGCUAGUGCUUCCAGUGGCUACGGGAGCCUGGGCAGCAGCGGCUCACAGGAGCAGCACGUCAGCAUCACCUCUUCGAGUGAGUCCAGCGGGCACUGUCCGGAGGAAGGCCAGCAUGAGCAGAUGACCCUGCAGCAGGUCUAUGCCAGUGUAAACAAAAUUAAGAAUGUGGGCCAACAGCUCUACAUCGAGUCCAUGGCCAGAUCAUCAGUGAAGCCAGUGGCAGAGACGUGCGUGGAACCGCAGGGUGGUGAUGAGCAGAAGGACUUUUCUUCCUCUCAGACACUGAAAAAUAAAAGCACCACGGAUACUGGCUCCGGUGGCAAUCUGCAGCAAGAGCAGCCCAGCUCGUCCUAUCAGCAGAUGAACUGUAUCGACAGUGUCAUCAGACACGGAACAGCUCCUGGACAUACGGAAACAGGAAACAACUGGACCAUCCACAGACAUCGAAGGAGGUGCUGCUCGGACCCUGUCCACCGCCGCACUGAGCGUGGCGUCUGGCAUCAGCCAGUGCAGCUGCAGCAGCACCUCUGGCCACGCUCCGCCCCUACAGUCAGCAGAAAGUGUUGCCGUGGCGUGUAAGCCGUGGGCCCUGAGAACGAAGGCCUCUCACCUGGCUGCAGGAGGAUUUAAGCACGUGGGGCUCACAGCAGCUGUCCUCUCUGCACACACACAGAAGGAAGAGCAGAACUACGUUGACAGGUUCCGGGAAAAGAUCCUGACCUCGCCCUACGGUUGCUAUCUUCAGCAAGAGAGCAGAAACCGUGCUCAGUACUCCUGUGUUCAAGGGUCCACUGCUAAGCACAGCAGAUGUGCUGGAAGCGAGAGGCAGAAGCACAAACGAAAGAAGUUGCCAGCACCUGUGGACACCAGCAGCCCCGGUGCCCACCUCUGUCCCCAUGUCACAGGACUCCUCCCGGAUGAGCAGCACUGGGGCCCAUCCGCUAGCCCCUCCCCCCUCGGCGCAGGCUUAGCAUUCCCCUCGGCCCUGGUAGUUCCCAGCCAGACCCCUUAUCUCCUCCCCUCUUUUCCCCUCCAAGAUAUGGCCUCUCAGGGAGUGGGGGUCUCGGCAGCCUGGGGAGCUGCAGCCGGAUGUCCACCUCUGUCCGCCGGCCCCCAGGCUGUUGCCGCGUUCCCCUCCGCUUACGUGGAUACUUUGAUGACCAUCUUCCUGCACAACGCCCCUCUCUUCCCUCUGUGGCCGCCCUCGUUCUCCCCAUACCCAUCCCUGGGGGCCGCAGGGUCUUCUGAACUGGCACCCUUAGUACCAGCAAUGGCUCCAAACCCGGAACCAACCACUUCAGGCCACAGCCAAAGGAGAGUGGAGGAGAACUGGGAGGCACACAGUGAAGAGCUUCCGUUCAUUAGCUCACGGAGCAGUUCACCGUUACAGUUAAAUUUACUCCAGGAAGAAAUGCCUGCGCCGUCAGAGUCCGCAGACGCAGUGAGAAGAGGCGCUGGGCCAGACGCUAAGCAUCACUGUGUUACAGGUCCCAGUGGCAGUAGGAGCCGUCACUGCACCUCUGGUGAGCUGGCCACGGCAACAGCGCAGCAGGAGUCUGCUGCUGCCUCAGGAAGCAGUGCCAGCAGUAUAUACUUCAGUAGCACUGACUAUGCUUCUGAAGUCUCUGAAAACAGACAGAGGCCACAGGAUAGACAGAGAGACGAAGCCCUUCCCGGGGCGGCUGAAGAGUCCAUCUGGAGAAUGAUAGAGCGGACACCAGAGUGUGUUCUCAUGACAUACCAGGUGCCCGAGAGGGGUCGAGAGGAGGUGCUGAAGCAGGACCUGGAGAAGCUCCAGAGCAUGGAACAGCAGCAGCCCCUGUUCUCUCCCGCGCAGAGGGAGGAGCUGGCCAAGGUGCGCUCCUGGAUCCACAGCCACACAGCCCCUCAGGAGGGACACCUCCAGGUAAGCAUGCCCUCCCUCGCAUCAUGACUGUCGCGUGCCAGGCACCUGGUGUCCUUCAUCUGAACGAUUACCUGUGUGCUCUGAAUACAGAGUGUGCACAUGUAAAGUCAUGUGUGCUGGGGUUUGAAUACAGGUCUGUUUUACCGUGUAAAGUUUCCUAGGAGGAGAAGCAUAAACAAAUGUCGGUUCAUGCCAGGUAGGGCCCAGCCCCAGACCAAGUACUGUAAAGUAGAGGCCGUCUUGGCAAACCAGUAAGUUAAUAGAGCUUACAUUACAGAGCAUAGGCGACCCCUAGACAGCCAUGUUACUGAAACCAUCUCACCCCAGCAUGAGUGAUAGUUCCACCGAUGGAGCGCUCCAUCUCCACCCCCUUCAGUCCCUUCUGCACUCUAGACCCUCAGAACCUCCUGAGAACACAGGACACCUGAGGUGAAACCAUGCAGACCUGGGAGGUAAGUGUAGGGAAGAGGCUGGAGUCUACAGUGAGGGUCUACAGUGACGGUCUACGGUGACGGUCUAGUGACUCCCUACCUCCUUUUUGUAAGGGAAUGUCAGCAGUCCCAGUCUUAAAAGUCUCUUGUGAGUAGCCACAGUUCUUUCCUUAUGUGUCUGAAACACCAUUCCACAACCAUGAUGAACUAGUUCUCUCCCACCAGUUGGAAUGGUUAGGGUGAUAAAGAUACUUCCCUGGGGUGUGACCAGCUGAGGGGAGGUAUGGAGAUACAUAGUUCAAAUAUACAUUCCUCUUUAAAAGCUUAAAUCCAAAGUAUAAGAAAGGCGCAUCCUGAAGGAAACUUUCUCACUCCACAGGAGCUCCUUAUCCAUUUCCUGCUGCUUGUUGGUGCAUUGAGAACCCUGGGACAGAAACCCAGGUCAUUCUUGGGUGUUAGUGUCCUAAGUCAUAUCAUGGACUGGCAAGCCAGGGCUGUAACAGCACCCAGCCUUGGGUUACCAUCCCUCUGACCCAGCUGCAGUAUCCCUUCAUCCGUUCCUCCUCUUUGUGUUCAGUUGUGUGUAGUUGUACAUAUGUCUGCACACCUUCGUGCAUGCGUGGUACCCACAGAGGCCAGAAGAGGGCGCCAGAUCCUCUAGAGCUGUGUAUGCCGGAAAUCUAACCGAGCUCUCUGCUGCAGCCUGGGCUCUUAACCACCCUGCCAUCUCCAGUGCCACCCUCAGCACUGCUUACACUGCAGAGAGGGUGACAUCAUGCCCCACUCUCCAGGCCUUUGUUUUUUUUUUUUUUGGAUUGUCUAAUGUCUCCCUUACUUUUUAAGGAGUUUUCCCAGAUAAAGGACUCUUGGUGGAAGGAGGUUUUUUUUGUUUUGUUUUGUUUUCCCUUUUAGCACUUUGAUUGUAUCAGCAUUCUGUCUUCUGGCCUCCAGAACUUCUGCUGAGACAUCUAUGGAUGAUUUUCUAAGAAUCCCGUGUGUGGCGUGUCCUCUCCUGCUUUGGUUUGAGUGGUUGUGAUGUGUCUGGGUGUGUAUGUCUGAGCUGAUCCCGUCUGGAGGCCGUUGAGCCUCUUGGAUGCUCAUUCAGGAAGAUGACCUUGGAUGUUCAGAUCAUCAUUAAAUAGGGAAGAUUUUCAGGCUUUUUCUUCUCACAUACAUCUUUUCCUUUGUUCCCUCCACUGCAUCCGUUAUAUACCGUUACCUGGUCUUCAGGAUUUUAGUUCUCACUUCUUCCAGCCUUGCCUUUAUUCCUCCAGGGAGCUUUAUCUCAGUUUUGUCUUUCACAGGGUUAGAAGGCUUUGGUGGCUUUCUCUGUAGGUGUCCUCUCAGUUCACUGAUGCUUAUGUUUGCUCGUCUAUUCCUCCUCUCCACUUUCUGUCCUCGCUUUCUAUCCUUGUGAUAGACGCACCAGAAGCACUCAGAAGGGAUGUUUCACCUCACAGGGAAAGUCAGAGCAGGAACAGAAGCGGAGGCCGUGGAGAGGGCCAGCUCACUGGUUUGCUCCCCAUAGCUUGCUCAGUCUGCUUUCUUAUAGCACCCAGGGCCACCAGCCUGGAGGUGACACAGCCCACAGUGAGUGGGGCCUUCCCACAUCCCUCAUGAGUCAUGAGACUGCACCACAGACCUGACCACAGGCCAGUAUGAUGGAGGCAGUCUCUCAGUUGAGGUUCUCUCAUCCCAGACAUGCCUGGGUUUGUGUCUGUCACGUUUACAAAAACCAACCAGUAAAUCUUCCCUCGGCUCAGCCUGUUCCUUACUUUUAAACUCUUCGAUUGGCAUUAACGUCAAAUAACACGCUUGCCUUUGGUCUCUUUUGGAGAGCUGUGUCGCCUGUGAAGACAGAGGUUCAGUGGGUGACACUGCAGAGGUCCUGGAACAGCACCCAGCAGAAGACACCAGUUGAGCAGCUGUAAAGAUGUCACACCCCCUCCAGGUCACGUGGGACACAGAGCCGUGCGUUACCUCACCACAGUCUAACUCUGAAACGCCAGUCAUUGACAUUAAGGUCUUCCCUGGCUUUGUUCUGGUUUGGUUUUGGUGGCGCUGGGGAUCAAACCCAGGGCCUCACAUCCACUAGGCUGGCACUCUCCACUGCUGACCUGUCUCCCCAGGUCUCCCUUCUUGGUUUUCCCAAAACAUGAGCAGACGUUGGCUCUUGUUCAUGAUAGUAAAACAGUCAACAAGACGUCUUCUCUAACUCAUCUGUCACCUGAAGACAUUGGGCUGUGUCUGACAGCAGAUUUCAGAGGUCACCCUGAGUAAGUUACAGUUGGAACGAGUCGCAGGCCUUCGUCUCGUUUGCUUUUUUAUGUUGUUACAAGAUCACUUUCCCACUAGAAUACUUGAAGAACUUCUGUCUGUAGGUUGUGUGUUUCUCACGGGGUGUCCGUGAACUUACCACAUUGAUCUAGGUUUUGUACAGCAUGGUGCUUCUCUUCCUGAUGGUAAGACAUUCCAGCUUUCUCUCAGAGCGUCAGAGCGCAUCAUUCCCCAGGAACUGUGGGACUCGUGGCUUUGGUUGUUUGACCCCAUUCUCGUCCAUGAAGUUCCUGUGGCAGCUGCCUUUCACAGGGGCUCUUUCCUUAAGAUCUGUCAGCUAGCCAGGACUUACUCCUUGGAUGACUGAAGUUAAGCCUUGCAUGGCAAAAAGCUUCUUACCCAAACAAUAGUGUUUUCAACAGUUUUAAAUAUUACGUUAAUGUUAUCAUGGAGAUGUGUGUGCCCCGGCUCACCAAAACAAACAGUUAACCUUUCCUUUUCACCAAACGACACGAUGACGACCAGCGGUCUGCCUUUUGUUUGCCCUUGAAGAGGGGUAAGAGUUUGGGAGACUACACUUAAGGGAGCUCGGGGACCCCAGCUCGGUGACAGCAGAGUCCCAUGAGUCCACGCUCUCCAGGCAGUUUCUGCCUCAGAAGUGAGUGUGAUUGUUCACGCGUCUGUCCUCUCACUGUCUGGUGCUCUGGUUUAAAGAAGCCCAAAGUUCCUUCUUGAACUCGAGAUGGCAGUGGAGCCACCCGUGCAGGUCAGGAAGGAACUGACGGGGAGGAGGUUUACAGUGGCCUUUUCCUGCUUCACUUCCUGCAGUCCAACUUACUUCUCUUUCUUUUCUUUUUCUUUUUCUUUCUUCUUUUUUUUUUUUUUUUUUUUUUUUGGCUGUUGUUUUUGCUUUGUUUUAGGAACACUUUGUUCUCCUCUGACAGUUUAUAGCUAUUGAUAACUGUAUUGUCAUUGUGGUCAGGAGACUGUCAUAGAGGCCGCUGUACCCAGUGCUCCCAACUCUGUGGCUCAGACUUCUUUUCUAAAAUAGUGCUUUUUCUGGACCGCAGUUCUAUUGGAAGGUGUCAGAAACAUUUUAAGAUGCUGCCUGUGACAUUUCUUGGAGCUUUCUGGUAUUGAGCAGUUCCUGACACGUGUUCCUGCUGUGUGAACAGAGAGACUUCUCAGAACCUAGUCCAUCCUGGUAGUGAAGUGAUUUGGGAGGCCUGCGUUUGUCAGGUUGGCCUUCUCUAGCGAAGCUACCAGGAUCCUUCUGCGUUUCUGUACAUACAGCAGACCUGAUGGUCUCUGGUUCCUGCUGGUUCUGGAUCCCCGUUUUCUCUGCAGUUCCUUAUUUCCUUGCCUUUGUCCACACCUUAUGGAGUCUGUAUUAUGCCAGGCUUGAUUUGAAAAUGGUGCUGUAGUCAGGUCUGUAAAGUCCUUUACCACGUCUCACCUCUGCUAGGAUGCCAUCAGUACACCGGCAAUCUCUGCUGCUGUGGGCUGGUCCAGCAGAGCCUGCUGCCCCCCAUGGGGGUCAUACCCAGUGGAAACUCAAGCUCACUGACUUGUGUAUUAAUAACUAGAGAAUUGGUAAGAAAAGUGUGUGUUGUAGACUUGAAUGUCUACAUAAAUAUUCCCCCCAAAGCUUUAUUUUCUUGGGUCAGAGGUCAAAAUUUAUGAAAAUAGGAUGUGUAAAUAAAUGGAUUAAAUAAAAUAUUAUAAUUCACAAGGUGGCAAACUUUAACCAAAUUGGCAAUUUGUUCAUAAUUAACUGUGAAUUUGCUUGUACUUAGUGGACAUUUAUCUUUUCAUUGGGUAUCUUUUUGAGUAAAAACAAUAAACAGUAUAUGUGUUCAAGUG